UACGGGGGGGGCAAGCGUUGUUCGGAAUUACUGGGCGUAAAGGGCUCGUAGGCGGCCAACUAAGUCAGACGUGAAAUCCCCAGCUCAACCUGGGAACUGCGUCUGAUACUGGAUGGCUUGAAUCCGGGAGAGGGAUGCAGAAUUCCAGGUGUAGCGGUGAAAUGCGUAGAUAUCUGGAGGAAUACCGGUGGCGAAGGCGGCAUCCUGGACCGGCAUUGACGCUGAGGCACGAAAGCUAGGGGAGCAAACAGG
rnacentral:rRNA from 1 species